rnacentral:rRNA from 1 species
GACGAACGCUGGCGGCGUGCUUAACACAUGCAAGUCGAGGGCACUUUGGGGGCAACCCUGGAGUGACCGGCGAACGGGUGCGUAACACGUGAGCGACCUUGCCUCGUGGUGGGGGAUAGCCGGCCCAACGGCCGGGUAAUACCGCAUAUGGUGCUGACUCCGCAUGGAGACGGCAGCAAAGCCCUGGAGCAAUCCAGUGGCGCCACGAGGGGGGCGUCGCGGCC